rnacentral:lncRNA from 1 species
CUUCUCAGAAGUGUGACUUCUCCAGUUGGCUCCCCCCCGGCUGCGUGCACAGGCCGGAAGUGGCAGGGCCAUCUGGAGCCAGUUCUGCCCAAGCUGGAGCUGUCUUAAGAGGGUACAUGUCGGGGAGAAAGGCUUCUGGAUUUGACAGCGCCUGGAGGUUCUAGAAAAGGAAGGAAGGAGAUAAGGGCCAUCUUGGGAGCCUUAUUAAUAUGUACAUACACAUGUUGAGCUUGGUAUGUCCAUAGCGGUUUCCUCGUGAAGGUUAAAACAAGUCAAUCCACCCAUCUGAUGGAUGUAUUUCAUUUAUCCUCAUCUUCAUCGUCAAUAGUGUUUAUGGCUGCUGAGGAAUAGAAAUCAACAGACAGUUUGCUGUGAAUGUGAAAAGGCUUGCCCUCUAUUUGCCUGGAUUUUUUU